rnacentral:rRNA from 1 species
UACGUAGGUGGCAAGCGUUGUCCGGAAUUAUUGGGCGUAAAGGGUGCGUAGGCGGCCCUGUAAGUCAGCGGUGAAAUACGGCAGCUCAACUGUCGAGGUGCCGUUGAUACUGCGGGGCUUGAGUGUUGAUGAGGCAGGCGGAAUUGACGGUGUAGCGGUGAAAUGCUUAGAUAUCGUCAAGAACACCGAUAGCGAAGGCAGCUUGCCAAGCAACAACUGACGCUGAGGCACGAAAGUGCGGGGAUCAAACAGG